GAUGAACGCUGGCGGCGUGCCUAAUACAUGCAAGUCGAGCGAAUGGAUUAAGAGCUUGCUCUUAUGAAGUUAGCGGCGGACGGGUGAGUAACACGUGGGUAACCUGCCCAUAAGACUGGGAUAACUCCGGGAAACCGGGGCUAAUACCGGAUAACAUUUUGAACCGCAUGGUUCGAAAUUGAAAGGCGGCUUCGGCUGUCACUUAUGGAUGGACCCGCGUCGCAUUAGCUAGUUGGUGAGGUAACGGCUCACCAAGGCAACGAUGCGUAGCCGACCUGAGAGGAUGAUCAGCCACACUGGGACUGAGACACGGCCCAGACUCCUACGGGAGGCGGCAGUAGGGAAUCUUCCGCAAUGGACGAAAGUCUGACGGAGCAACGCCGCGUGAGUGAUGAAGGCUUUCGGGUCGUAAAACUCUGUUGUUAGGGAAGAACAAGUGCUAGUUGAAUAAGCUGGCACCUUGACGGUACCUAACCAGAAAGCCACGGCUAACUACGUGCCAGCAGCCGCCGCCA
rnacentral:rRNA from 1 species